ACAUACUGCACCCACAGGAACUUGGUCCUUCUAAUUCAAUGAAUAAUUUUUUUUUCCUCCUUUGAAAGAAUACAGCAGCACUUGAAAAAUACUGACCCUGAAGAACAUCACGCAUCAACUCAUUUCUGAAUGUGCUUUCGGUCCUGAAGCCCAUUCCUUUUCUCAGUGUGGCCAAGGAGACUUUUGGGUGCAAAGCCAGGAUUUCAAGGCCUUGAAUCACUUACACCUACCUUGCUGGUGUCAGAAGAGAGUGACCACGGGCCUGACCUCAUACCACAAUUCAGCAGCCUUGUAAAGGAGGAAAAUCACAAGUGCUCUGCAAAGUUAUGUUCACACAGAACACGGGUGGCAGUUCAAAAGACCACUUAAAUACAUACCUGAGAUCUGCAGACCUCAAUUAUUUCUAAA
rnacentral:lncRNA from 12 species